rnacentral:tRNA from 1 species
CAAUUUAAAGUUUAUAAAGUAAAGCAUUUCAUUUACAUUGAAAAGAAAUCUGUGCAAUUCAGUUUAAGUUGA